rnacentral:rRNA from 1 species
CAGUAGCCACGGGAAUACGGAGGGGGCUGGCGUUGUUCGGAAUUACUGGGCGUAAAGCGCACGUAGGCGGCUUUGUAAGUUAGAGGUGAAAGCCCGGAGCUCAACUCCGGAAUUGCCUUUAAGACUGCAGAGCUAGCAGGUGAGAGAGGUGAGUGGAAUUCCGAGUGUAGAGGUGAAAUUCGUAGAUAUUCGGAAGAACACCAGUGGCGAAGGCGGCUUACUGGCUCAUACUGGACGCUGAGGUGCGAAAGCGUGGGGAGCAAACAGGAUUAGAUACCCCAGUAGUCCCUGUCUCUUAUAC